CUGGACUCUGUUGUGUUACUACAACUGGUCUGAAAUGCAUGAGUGCAUCCUGCUUUUGCAGUGUUUUCAGUGUGAUAAGCAUCUUCACUGGAUCAAGUUCCCUUGGGACACACGCAUUGUGGGCUCUGUGCUGGCAAACCGUCUUUGGACAAACUUGACAAUUUGACCUCAGAUCGGGUGGGACUACCCGCUGAACUUAA
rnacentral:misc_RNA from 1 species